rnacentral:rRNA from 1 species
AUUGAACGCUGGCGGUAUGCUUAACACAUGCAAGUCGAACGGUAGCAGGCCUUCGGGCGCUGACGAGUGGCGGACGGGUGAGUAACGCGUAGGAAUCUGCCUCAUAGUGGGGGACAACGUGGGGAAACUCACGCUAAUACCGCAUACGCCCUACGGGGGAAAGCGGGGGAUCUUCGGACCUCGCGCUAUGAGAUGAGCCUGCGUUAGAUUAGCUAGUUGGUAGGGUAAAGGCCUACCAAGGCGACGAUCUAUAGCUGGUCUGAGAGGACGAUCAGCCACACUGGGACUGAGACACGGCCCAGACUCCUACGGGAGGCAGCAGUGGGGAAUAUUGGACAAUGGGCGCAAGCCUGAUCCAGCAAUACCGCGUGUGUGAAGAAGGCCCUAGGGUUGUAAAGCACUUUCAAUAGGGAGGAAAACCUGUCGGUCAAUACCCGGCAGCUUGACAUUACCUUUAGAAGAAGCACCGGCUAACUCCGUGCCAGCCGCCGCAGUAAAAC